AACAUAAGCAGAAAGAGAAGCAUAAAGUACUUGACAACUGUUCUGAUGGAGGUGAUACUAUGCAAUCAAAGAUGAAGGGCAAAAGGGAUCCUGAGGAAGAUUUAUUGAGGGCCUCAAAGAAAAUCAAGACUGAAGUUUUGCCACAAGGUUGGGUGUCUGAUCAUGUAACCAUUGAAAAAGUAGGUCCUAGUUCAACUAAUGGUUUGCUUAUUAUGUCAUCAGGGAAGAAUCUGCCUAAAGCCAAUGGCCGCACUUCUUCUAAAGAUCAGGUUCAAGUUUCUGCUAGAAAACCAAAGGACGAAGUUCCAACUUCCAUGGAUGACGUGACCAUGGUUAUGGGAAAGCAGGUUAAUCGAGAAGUUGGAAAAAAGAGGAAAGUAAAGGGAAGUUAUGAUGCUCAAGGUAAUCCAGUUGCCCUUUCAUAUACAGGGCAUAAUCUCCGGGAAAGCAGGAUCCCGGCCAAGGAGGAGUUCAGUGAGAA
rnacentral:misc_RNA from 1 species